GACAGAGGCCCCAAGCGUUAGGCGGAAUCACUGGGCUUAAAGCGUGUGUAGGCGGACGCCUAAGUGUCUUGUGAAAUCCCACGGCUCACCCGUGGAACUGCUGGGCAUACUGGGCGUCUUGGGCCAACUAGGGGCAGCCGGAACAAGCGGUGGAGCGGUGAAAUGCGUAGAUAUCGCUUGGAACGCCGAAGGUGAAAACAGGCUGCUGGGGUUGCGCCGACGCUGAUACACGAAAGCCAGGGGAGCAAACGGG
rnacentral:rRNA from 1 species